CGCGCAGGGCGGAAGUGACGUGUGUCGCGUGCGGCCCGCACCGUGGGGGGGGUUUGGACAAGAUGGCUGGAUCCACAGUUAAAGUACCUCGUAAUUUUCGCUUAUUGGAAGAACUUGAAGAAGGUCAGAAAGGAGUAGGUGAUGGUACAGUAAGCUGGGGCCUUGAAGAUGAUGAAGAUAUGACACUCACCAGAUGGACAGGCAUGAUUAUUGGG